UGUACAAGACGAGCUUUUUCGCAAGAUUUUUAUCAUCUGAGUCAUAUAAUUAUUCAAACGUAAUUAGAAAAGUGAAAUUCGGUCCUGGUUAUUGCACCUGGUCAUUGUGGUUAUCGUCGGCAUGAAUAGCCGGUACAAAUGAGUUUAAAAUUACGCGGAAGUUGGUAACUCUAGAUACAUAUCUCGAUAUAUCAUUUCGUUUCAAUUGAGUUCGCUAGUCCAAAUGGGUUUAGAAAGCUGACCAAUCAAUUGCAG